GCUUUGGUGCCUUCGGGAACUCUGAGACAGGUGCUGCAUGGCUGUCGUCAGCUCGUGUUGUGAAAUGUUGGGUUAAGUCCCGCAACGAGCGCAACCCUUAUCCUUUGUUGCCAGCGGUUAGGCCGGGAACUCAAAGGAGACUGCCAGUGAUAAACUGGAGGAAGGUGGGGAUGACGUCAAGUCAUCAUGGCCCUUACGAGUAGGGCUACACACGUGCUACAAUGGCGCAUACAAAGAGAAGCGACCUCGCGAGAGCAAGCGGACCUCAUAAAGUGCGUCGUAGUCCGGAUUGGAGUCUGCAACUCGACUCCAUGAAGUCGGAAUCGCUAGUAAUCGUAGAUCAGAAUGCUACGGUGAAUACGUUCCCGGGCCUUGUACACACCGCCCGUCACACCAUGGGAGUGGGUUGCAAAAGAAGUAGGUAGCUUAACCUUCGGGAGGGCGCUUACCACUUUGUGAUUCAUGACUGGGGUGAAGUCGUAACAAGGUAACCGUAGGGGAACCUGCGGUUGGAUCACCUCCUUA
rnacentral:rRNA from 1 species